UACGGAGGGUGCAAGCGUUGUCCGGAUUCAUUGGGUUUAAAGGGUGCGUAGGCGGGUCUAUAAGUCAGUGGUGAAAGGUCAGGGCUCAACUCUGGAUGUGCCAUUGAUACUGUAGAUCUUGAGAGCGGUUGAGGUAGCUGGAAUGUGUAGUGUAGCGGUGAAAUGCAUAGAGAUUACACAGAACACCAAUUGCGAAGGCAAGUUACUAGACCGUUUCUGACGCUGAGGCACGAAAGUGUGGGGAUCGAACAGG
rnacentral:rRNA from 1 species